ACUCACAGCUGUCCCACCCUGAAAGCACUAGUCUGAUGGUAGAAGCUAAGCAGAGUUAGGCCCCAGCUAGUCCUUGAAUGAAAGAUCACCUGGGAAUUCUGGGGGCUGUAGGGU
ensembl:rRNA 5S_rRNA 5S ribosomal RNA